GAUGAACGCUAGCGGCAGGCUUAACACAUGCAAGUCGAGGGGUAUAGGUUUUCGGACCUAGAGACCGGCGCACGGGUGCGUAACGCGUAUGCAAUCUACCUUUUGCAGAGGGAUAGCCCAGAGAAAUUUGGAUUAAUACCUCAUAGUAUAACACAAUCGCAUGAUUGAGUUAUUAAAGUCACAACGGCAAAAGAUGAGCAUGCGUCCCAUUAGCUAGAUGGUAAGGUAACGGCUUACCAUGGCUACGAUGGGUAGGGGUCCUGAGAGGGAGUUCCCCCACACUGGUACUGAGACACGGACCAGACUCCUACGGGAGGCAGCAGUGAGGAAUAUUGGUCAAUGGACGCAAGUCUGAACCAGCCAUGCCGCGUGCAGGAUGACGGUCCUAUGGAUUGUAAACUGCUUUUGUACAGGAAGAAACACUCCUUCGUGAAGGAACUUGACGGUACUGUAAGAAUAAGGAUCGGCUAACUCCGUGCCAGCAGCCGCCGUAA
rnacentral:rRNA from 1 species